AUGAACGCUAGCUACAGGCUUAACACAUGCAAGUCGAGGGGCAGCAUGACCUAGCAAUAGGUUGAUGGCGACCGGCGCACGGGUGAGUAACACGUAUCCAACCUACCGGUUAUUCCGGGAUAGCCUUUCGAAAGAAAGAUUAAUACCGGAUAGUAUAACGAGAAGGCAUCUUUUUGUUAUUAAAGAAUUUCGAUAACCGAUGGGGAUGCGUUCCAUUAGUUUGUUGGCGGGGUAACGGCCCACCAAGACAUCGAUGGAUAGGGGUUCUGAGAGGAAGGUCCCCCACAUUGGAACUGAGACACGGUCCAAACUCCUACGGGAGGCAGCAGUGAGGAAUAUUGGUCAAUGGACGAGAGUCUGAACCAGCCAAGUAGCGUGAAGGAUGACUGCCCUAUGGGUUGUAAACUUCUUUUAUAUGGGAAUAAAGUGAGCCACGUGUGGCUUUUUGUAUGUACCAUACGAAUAAGGAUCGGCUAACUCCGUGCCAGCAGCCGCGGUAAUACGGAGGAUCCGAGCGUUAUCCGGAUUUAUUGGGUUUAAAGGGAGCGUAGGCGGACUAUUAAGUCAGCUGUGAAAGUUUGCGGCUCAACCGUAAAAUUGCAGUUGAUACUGGUCGUCUUGAGUGCAGUAGAGGUAGGCGGAAUUCGUGGUGUAGCGGUGAAAUGCUUAGAUAUCACGAAGAACUCCGAUUGCGAAGGCAGCUUACUGGACUGUAACUGACGCUGAUGCUCGAAAGUGUGGGUAUCAAACAGGAUUAGAUACCCUGGUAGUCCACACAGUAAACGAUGAAUACUCGCUGUUUGCGAUAUACAGCAAGCGGCCAAGCGAAAGCAUUAAGUAUUCCACCUGGGGAGUACGCCGGCAACGGUGAAACUCAAAGGAAUUGACGGGGGCCCGCACAAGCAGUGGAGUAUGUGGUUUAAUUCGACGCAACGCGAAGAACCUUACCAAGUCUUGACAUCCUGCGACGCACAUAGAAAUAUGUGUUUCCUUCGGGACGCAGAGACAGGUGGUGCAUGGUUGUCGUCAGCUCGUGUCGUGAGAUGUUGGGUUAAGUCCCGCAACGAGCGCAACCCUUAUGGUCAGUUACUACGCAAGAGGACUCUGGCCAGACUGCCGUUGACAAAACGGAGGAAGGUGGGGAUGACGUCAAAUCAUCAUGCCCCUUAUGACUUGGGCUACACACGUGCUACAAUGGCCACGACAGAGAGAAGCGAAAUCGCAAGGUAGAGCGGAACUCAAAAAAGUGGUCCCAGUUCGGAUUGUGGGCUGCAACCCGCCCACAUGAAGACGGAGUUGCUAGUAAUCGCGGAUCAGCAUGCCGCGGUGAAUACGUUCCCGGGCCUUGUACACACCGCCCGUCACACCAUGGGAGUUGGAUAUGCCCGAAGUCAGUGACCCAACCGUAAGGAGGGAGCUGCCGAAGGCGGGACCGAUAACUGGGGUG
rnacentral:rRNA from 1 species